UACGGGGGGGGCAAGCGUUGUUCGGAAUUACUGGGCGUAAAGGGCUCGUAGGCGGCCAACUAAGUCGGAUGUGAAAUCCCCAAGCUUAACUUGGGAACUGCAUCCGAUACUGGAUGGCUUGAAUCCGGGAGAGGGAUGCAGAAUUCCAGGUGUAGCGGUGAAAUGCGUAGAUAUCUGGAGGAAUACCGGUGGCGAAGGCGGCAUCCUGGACCGGCAUUGACGCUGAGGAGCGAAAGCUAGGGGAGCGAACAGG
rnacentral:rRNA from 1 species